UUUACAACCUCUCUAUUGAAAUGAUUUUAUAUUUGUUUUGAAAUUGUGGUGUUCAUGUGAUAUGCAAUCGUUGUUCGUGUGUAACUGAUUCCGUUGGAGCGUUUUCCUGAUUUAUGCCCUGGCCCAAUUGGGUGGGAUAAACCCUAGGUUGUAUCUACUAGUUGCAAAUUAGCUGUUGCCAUAUCAAAUCCAACUUUUUUUUGGAAAUGGUUAUCCAGCCUCUAGGAUCUAUCAAUGCAUAAGUUAUGGUGUGUGCAGGAUUUAUAGGGAUGUCCCCUAGAUGUUUCCUGUCCCUGGGACAUCCCGGAGAUGGGGACGCCUGAAAAAAACCGGCUGAUUGUAGUACCUUUUCUUAUGUCUGGAUUUAGGUGAAAUGAAAACUGUAGAUUCUGAACAAGGAUAUUAAACGACUAUUUUUUUCAGCUUUUUAUCAUGUGGAUGAUUCUCAUUUUGUAUACAACAUGGAGUCCUUGUUGAGGGAGGGAGUUCAAUUGGAAAUGAAGGGAAGCACUGAUUUUGCUUCUGCAGUUGUUGUGCUACUUGGUAUGUCACAUGGGAUAGAGGAUAUCUCUACCUCUGGUUACAGAGAUUCUUCUCUUGUAGCAAUCCUUUCCGUCCAAUCCUGAGGAAAUUUACUUGGGUUGUGUGUUUGCCCCUCAGACUAGUGCAAGGUUAUUUAAAUUGGUGGUAGAAGAGGAUCACAUUCAAUUGGAAUUGGAAGAGCUGAAAAUGCCAACGCAGUUUGGUGCUGCUCAGCUUGUAUUUUUGACAUCAAUAUACAUUUAGAUUUCGUAAUAUGUGGUACAAAAUGAGGAAAUAUUGAUUUCUGUCCUUCAGCUCCAUUGUCACAAACUGAAACCAGAAUCAGCUCUCGUGACUUGCCUUAAAGAGGAAUUACACAGAUGGUGACUUGAGCAUUUCAAUAGAUGAUAACUAAUGAAUAUUUUUCUCGAUUGUGAUCUUUUUUAUGUUGUAAUCAGCAAUAAAUAUGUAUCUUACUAUCUAGUGAUAUCCUUUUCUUUUCGAAUUAAGAUCAAAUACUUCUGAAGCAAAUUUGCACUGACAUAAUGUACAGUGGUUUGACUUUUGACGAUACUUGAUUCAAGCCAUCUAAAUCAUUAGAUUUUUCUCUGAUGAUUAUUGUGGCUUGAUGGAACCAGUUGGCUGUGAUUAUGCUAUUGUUUUACCCCAGUAGCAGGGUUCAUAUCCUUAAGGGGUUGUGCAUGCCCUUAUGGCACUAUUGAGGAACAUAAUCCAAUGCUUCCCUUUUUUAGGUA